rnacentral:rRNA from 1 species
CGGGGGGAGCAAGUGUUGUUCGGAUUUACUGGGCGUAAAGGGCGCGUAGGCGGCCACCGCAAGUCGACUGUGAAAUCUCCGGGCUUAACCCGGAAAGGUCAGCCGAUACUGCGGGGCUAGAGUGCAGAAGGGGCAACUGGAAUUCUCGGUGUAGCGGUGAAAUGCGUAGAUAUCGAGAGGAACACCUGCGGCGAAGGCGGGUUGCUGGGCUGACACUGACGCUGAUGCGCGAAAGCUAGGGGAGCGAACGGGAUUAGAUACCCUGGUAGUCCACGCCCUAAACGAUGUCAACGUGGUUGUUGGGUCUUUACUGACUCAGUAACGAAGCUAACGCGUGAAGUUGACCGCCUGGGGAUACGGCGCAAGGUUG